rnacentral:lncRNA from 1 species
UAAAACCGAAAUUUUUGAUUUUCUUUAUUUUCUUCUUUUUACAACUUAACAGUUUAGUCCUUGAAAUUUCCAUAUUUACAUAUAGGUCCCCCGAUUUAUAAAUAAAUCUUUAUUAAUAAUUUUUAAAAUUGAGGGAUAUUACAGACGACCGUCCGAACUUCCGUCGAACUCUCGAACUCCCAACGUGAUCAUGAACUUGACUCCGGCGCAACUCCUGCUGCUUGUCUAACUUUCAUCGUAGUUAAUCCUGCACACUUAAAACAAAACUUCGAUCGAGACAAUUAAUCCUAAGCAAUUAACCAAGUUGUCCGGCAUGUCAUUGGUCCCUCGACGCUUCGUCCGAUUCUUCGG